rnacentral:lncRNA from 1 species
AAGUCAGAGGUUAGCAGAUGAUACGCCGCAAAUAUAGGUGUAGACACCUAAUUUUGUCCCUCUCAAGUCCAAUUUUAUUCAUUUUAGCUCACCUUACCACACACCCUCAUCCACGUGAUUAUACCCCACAAAAAUAAUAACCAAUUCUUAACCAAACCAUAACAAAUUUUAUCCAAUUCUAACUACCCUACCCCACCCUCUUUAUCCUUACCCGUGUACACCCCUCCCUUAGGCUUUCUUUUCUUUUCAGGCGAAUGAAUACACAAAAAGGGAGCCCACGGAAAUUGCUUUUGGGCUUUUGGGAUACAAAAAUAGAAAAGGAAGGGAUUCACCAUUUCCAUUUUAAUAAUACACACAGUAGCACAUAGGGAAUCUUUCAUCUAUUAUUCACAACAAAAACAUCAUAAAGGGGGCCCGCAGGGCAAGACCCAUCUUCUUCUCCACAAUUUCAUAGACCAAAUACAUCACUCACAAAAAUAAAAUAGAGAGAGAUCACUAUUACACAACCUCCAUUUUUCAUUCAAUAGACUCACUCAUUUUAUAGGCACAAACGCUCACCGACACACCACUCAUCACGACCAUGGAUUGAAUUCUCAACACACAGCUAUAGAAAUAGAUGCUAAGGAGGAGGAGAGAAGGGAUUCGAUUAAAAAAAAUUGGUUCUCCUUCACAACCCGCACACACAGACACACCGAAUCACGCACACACUCCUUAUGAUACACUGAUUCAUAUGCAUAAUUGGAGAUGAUCGAAAGAGGAGUGAUGAGGGUUGAGGGAGAAACAUAAAUUAGGAAUUUGUGUUACUGUUCUGGCGACGGUCUCACCAGAAAAGCUUUGUUACUGCAUCGUUCAAGGUUUGUAUUUGUGUCAAUCGAGUCUGUCGAGCUCCGGUGCAGCUAACUCAAACCAAAACACGAUUCUAUCAUCUCGAGUGCAUUGUCCGAUCAAUUUCGAACGGAAAAUAGUCCUUUAUAUCGAUUCUUAUUAUCCGUUCAAUAUGGGGGUUCCGUCUGUCGUCGAAUUGUUUAGGUUUAGGCUUAUUUUUACUCUUGGGUAUUGAGAUUGGAAUUUCUUUAUUGGGAUUUCUGUUCAGAGGUUUGUUAUUUUCGUUCAAAAUUAUUGAUUCGGGGGGUAUAUUGAGUGGUGUUGCUACUUUCGAAUUUCUUCGGAAUGGGAUUUGCAAUAUUGAGCUGGUGUUAAUCAUUUUGAGGCUUUUGGUUGAGGAUUUCAGACUUCAGCUUUCAUCGAUUCAUUAUUAUCAGUGAAAAAUCUACUCUUUUGAGGUCCAAUUCUCUCCUCUCUCUUCUUUUAUUUUAAUUUCGAUGCGAUUGUGGAUGUGAUUCGAUCUCUCUGUCCUAUUAGUUUGGAUUGAUUUGGGUGAUGUUUGAUGUUGUUUGGUUUUGCAUAAUUGAUCUCAAUGGCAUAAAUGUGAUGAUAAUAUGAAUUUGGGUUUGUAUCAAAAAAGUAAUUUGGGAUGGGAAUUGAAAGAUUGGUAAAAUGAUUUUGGUUUAAUUUUUGAUUUAUUGAUUAUGUUAAUUUCAUCGAACAUGAUAGUAUCAUGUCUUAGGUUGGGCAUCGAUAGGCAAAUUCUAAGUUUUGGGGCAGGCAACUCAUAGGAUUCUAAUCAUCGAAUGUGUAAUUAUUUGUGUUGAGUGAUUUUCUUUAUUUUUAUCGCAUUUCAUUAAAUGUAUUUAUUUAGUCAGGGAAUGCCUCGAAGGUCAUUUGUAUUUAUUCACCAGGGAAUGCCCCAACGCAUUAUGUUGGCGGAAGAUGUUCGUGAUCAAGACCCAGGGCACCGGGUGGAGCGUAGUUUAGGAUUAAUGUAGGUUUACAUUUCAGUUCCUUCUAUUUUGGGUUUGUAAUAAUUGGACUGAACAUUAACUUUUGGAUUUUCGUUUGUUUGGUUUGGUUGUUUUAUGUGUUUUGUGGUUUAUACAUUUAUAAUGUCAUACUAGCCGAUAUGCUCCACCAAGCGACCGUGAUCGAACCACGAGAUCGAGGUGUGCCUAAAAUCUUCCCCUCGGUCAACAGAAUUUCUGAGCCGAAAUCUCUAUUCGCAAACCAGCUUUAAAAGAGUCAAACUGUUUUAAAAAGGAUUUUCCAAAAGGUGACUUGACACACUGGAUUUAUGCCAAGUGGCGACUCUGAGUUUUGACUAUAAAAGGUCCUUUUUGAAACAAUUAUCUUCAUUGUCACUUUAAUAAUAAAAAAACUUUUGAACAUAAAAUCAAUCUUUUUGGAGUUAAAAAAGGGGUGUGAUAGCUCUGGCGACUCUGGUGGGGAUUUUUCAGAAUUUCAGCUUAUUUUGGAGUUGCAUCGGCUUAGUUUGGCACUACAGGUGUAUAGACAUUUUUUUUGUGUUGUUUUGUGUUAUAGUUUAUCAUUGUUGAGUGCCUACGUGCUCUUUGUUUAUAGUUUUUACUUUAUGUGUUACCGCUUUAUAUCUGGCAUCAUGUGCAUAACUCGAGUCUUUCUUUCUGCAACAAGUCCAUAGUACAUGUUUGUACACGACCUAUAGUUGAGUCACCCUUAUUUUAGAAGGGGGAGCCAUUGGGUUGUAUGGAGUAGGUGGACAGCUAAAGUAAUCCACUAUUGACCAACACUCCCCCAAACAGCCUUGUUAGUGGACCCCAACAUAAGUCGGCCUUUAGGUCAUGCUUAUCUGCAUCAUAUUGAGACCUAGCGGGAUCCAUGUGGCCCUUUGUAGGAGACUCACCUCCAAAGCAUCCUUACAUGCUAAAUGUUGCAUCUUUGAGGGUAACGUGGUCAUUUGACGGACUGAUUUGGGGAAAGCAUGUGUUAGAAGUAAAGGGCAUAGGCAAGAAUUGUUGAAAAAAAUAGAAGAACAAGUGAGUCGAAAAAAAAAAAAAAAGAGUUUCGUAGUUUUUAGAGUUUUAUGGCUUUUGUUUUUCACAAUUCAAAAAUUCAAUUUUUUUUUUUUUACCUUUCACACUCAUUUUCUCAAAAACAUCAAAAAGAUAUUCCUUUGUCUCGUUUAGCAUGCAUUCACAAUUUGAAAACUUCAAAAAAAAAAAAUCAUUCAUAGGAGUUUUUAUAAACGAAAAAUGCAAAAAAUGAUUUUAGAAAUUUUUGACAUUUCGUAUAACGAAAAUACCAAAAAUAUUUUUCUUUCAUAGUUGUUGAUGUCAUUUUUGUAUGAAGUGUCAAAUUAAAAAUCCAAAAAGAUUUUAUUUUCAUCGUGCAGUCGUGUCUCUCAAGUCAAGAUUUGUUUUUUCUAUAAUCCUUAAUUGUCCAAUCUGGAUGAACUACGCACCCCUGAUUCUUCUCUUUCGGGAUGUGAGAUACAUAGGCAACUUAUUGUGGGUUCGGGGGAUCUUAUUUCAAAAAUUCAAAAAUAUUUUUUUCACUCUUCAUUUAGAAUAAGUGUUUAUGUAUCAAUAAAAGAAAACUACAACAAGAUUUUUCCUUUAAUAGGUUCAAGUUUCAUUUUGGUAUGAAUGCAAAAUUGAAACCCCCCCCCCCCCCCCCCAAAACAAAAAAAAGAGUAUUUUUUGCACUAGUAUGUGUUUUUUUUAUUAGGAGACUAAGGCAACAAAUGACAGAAAUGCACCGAGCUUGGGCCAGUGGAUUGCCUCCUCCUUCCUUUUCCGCUAUUGAUCCCACAAAUACCUCGAGUUUUCCCCAAAAUUGGAGAGUCAGUUUCCUACUGUUGUUGAUACACCGCAACAUGACUUAGAAUUCAUUACAAGCCCAAAGCAUCUCAAUACUUCCACCACUUUUCCUCUAGCUCCUCAUUAUAAUCCUGCAACAUUCACAAUGCCACAUAUCGUUCGUGAUCUUGUUACUCAAUCCUCUAUUGAGACUUCUACAUUGGCUAGCCGCCCAAUGGUUGUGCUUCCCCAUUCUGCUAGUAAACCUUUGUUCAAUACUCUUGGUGAUCAUUGUUAUACUCCUGAUCCUGCUUUUAAGUUAACUGGACCACCAAAAUUUCUUAACAAGAAAUCCAGUGUGCCAGAAGAGUCGGUGAAAAUUGUUGGAAAAAAUAAAGUGUGCAGAAAAUGCUAUGAAAAAUUCUCCUGCAACAUUCACAAUGCCACAUAUCGUUCGUGAUCUUGUUACUCAAUCCUCUAUUGAGACUUCUACAUUAGCUAGCCGCCCAAUGGUUGUGCUUCCCCAUUCUGCUAGUAAACCUUUGUUCAAUACUCUUGGUGAUCAUUGUUAUACUCCUGAUCCUGCUUUUAAGUUAACUGGACCACCAAAAUUUCUUAACAAGAAAUCCAGUGUGCCAGAAGAGUCGGUGAAAAUGGUUGGAAAAAAUAAAGUGUGCAGAAAAUGCUAUGAAAAAUUCUCUAGGACCUGCGGGUAAAGAAGAUGUUUCAUACAAAGACCGGGGAAUGCCUUCAAGUGCUAACCUUCCUUUAAUCUUUGAGAUAUCGAAAUUUGAGGAGCAAAAUAGGCAUGAGAAAUCCGUGAAACAUUUGGGACAAUAUUGCAAUCAAUUAAGGGAACCUGGAGGGAAGAAAAAUGAGAAAGAUUCAAAUGCCAAUGUAGUUGGAGAACGGGCACAUCCAAGAAGAUGACGUCGUCGUUGCCGUCAGUCUCAAGCCCAAGUCCAUACCCAAGCUCUCCAUAAUCACUCCCAAAAUCCAUUAUACCCUGUUUCCCCAUCUCUAUAUCUAGUAUAUUAUGUACAAUCAUAUGUUCAACUCCCUCCUUACCCACAAUGGAGCUCACCAACUCCUCAAAGUCAUCCUCUAAUUCCACACGCAUACCAAAGCCCUUUUAGGUCCGAUGUUCGAUCCAAGUUAAAUAAUGAAAUGAGGUAGAAAUUGAGGGAUAGUUUCACACCAAUUGGAGAGUCGUAUGCCAGUUUAUUUCUGAUAUUGGCACAGUGAGGCAUGAUCACUUCUCUCCUUGGGUAUACUCCUGACCCGCAUUCAAGAAGUUUUGAUCCUAAUGUAUGAUGUGCAUAUCAUUCUGAUGUUCAGGGUUACAGUAUUAAAGAUUAUCGUGCUUUAAAAAGAGAAAUUGAAAAGAUGAUUCGAGAUAAAUCAAUUAUGGUGCAGAACAUUGACAGUGAGGAAAGCUCUAGUCAUGAUGAUAUAUAAACUAGUGGCUAGGAUGUCAGGCUAAGCACUUGAGAAGUCACCCCUCCCUACUAGGAAGAGGUCUAGUAGUUUGCUUUGUUUUAUUUUCUGUUAUCCGAAUUAUUUCAUGGUUGUAGUUUGGGAUCUAUCUUGUUUUGUACCUUGGUCGUUAUGUUCAAACCCUUCUAUCUUUCAAUUUUAUUAAAUGAAGUGUCCCAUUUUUCUUUGCAUUUUAAAUAUGUGUUGUUUGUUUAUUUUCUUUACAUAGUACAUUUUAUGUUGACUCUAGUGACAUGACAUACUAGUGAAAUUUAUAGCCAGAUCAUAAAAUCCAGUUUAAGCAUGAACAUUGAAUCAAAGAGUUAAAGUUAGGAAAAGAGAGCAUUUGAGAAAAUAGGUAAAGUGAAGAGACAUUUCGUGACAAGUUAAAGCCUUCUUUGAAAAUUAAGGCAAUUGUUUUGAGAAUUGCAAGAAUAAUUUGGUCAUCAAUUGAAAGACAUGUCUCAAUUAGGUCAAAUAGUGGAUGCGUGAUCCUAUAUCAAGAGGAACAGAAAGAAAAUCAGCUCUGUGAAAGCAUGAAUCAUUUGAUGUGAGGGAUGUACAACAAAAGUGGAGUUGUAUGUUUGACAAGUGAAAUGGCACACAUGCCCAAUUAAAGUUAGUAUUGCUAAAGUGUCACACAUGAUUUUCAUCUCCCACUUUCAUAUUGCAUGUUAUGCACUUGCAUUUUUAAGGAUUGAUAUGACGAAUGCAUUUCAUUCUUCUAUCCAGAUAUGGUGUCAUCCUUUGCUUACCCCAUUCGAGCUUUAGUUUUAUUUUAUUUCACAUACCUCUUUUGGAAUCAAGAUAAAAUUAGCAAAGCUCAAGAGAAAAGUGUCAAGAAAAAAAGAGUCAGAAAAGUUUCAAAGAUAAAAAAGUCAAUAAAAAGAAAAAAAAAGAGAAGAAUCCAGAAUCGAGCAAAAGAACAAGCUGCCAGAACUAUGCGUGACCUGAUUCUCCUCUUUUAGGGGUGAGAUACGUAGGCUUCCCUACUCCGGGCUCGGUCCAACCAAAUAAAUAAUUAAGAAUUGCCCAGUCAAAAGAAACUGGAGAAUGAGUUAAUCCUCAUUGUUUGAUUCGAUUACAAAAGUUGUAAGUCCUAACCCACUUUAAGUGUUGUUUGGGCCUCAUGCCAUCCUUUCUUUCUAACCCUAUCCAAAAUCCAAGUUGCAACCAAAGAAAGACCUUCAGAUCAAUCUUUGAGGAUGUUAAGGCUAAACAUGCAAGGGAUAUAAUGAUGUAUUUGGGAACUACUUGUCUUUCUCAGCAUAAGGAAUCAAGAGAGAAAUAAAAAUAAGAGUCUUAUUGGUGAAAACCCUCACGGGUAUCAUAAGGCGAUGGUAAGUUGAGAGAGAUAAAAAUGAGAGAGUCUUAUCGGUGAAAAUCUCCACGGACACCGUAAGACAAUUUUGAGUUGGAAAAAAAUAAUAAUAAGAGAGUCUCAUUGGUGAAAAACUCUUACAGACACCAUAAGGAAAUGGAGAGCUGAGGAAAAGAAAAUGAGAGAAGUUUGAUGGCGAAAACCCUUUAAGGUGCCACUAAUCGGAUGAGUUCUUAAAACCAAUUAACCCAAGGAAGCAACUUAGUUUCAAGGCCAUUAACUCAACAAAAAUUUGUGAGAAUUUUGGAUGGAAAGAUCAAACAGCAUAAUCCGAAAUGCAUGGCAUAAUCAUUAGAGUUUACUAUCAUUUUUAGAUAAUUUUUCAUUUCUUCAAAUGGGGACAUUCAUUGUCUUUAGUUUCUUCUCUUUAUAUUUAUUUUAUUUUUCUUGAGUUAGUUAUCCCAAAUAAAAAUUAUUGUCAUUUUCCUCUUGUAUUUGAGUCAAAUCCAUGUCAAAAUAAGUGAGAAAAGAUUUCAAAACUAGCUACUAGCUUUUUCAAUUGCAGAAAGCGAGAUAAAAGGCCAGCACAUGAAAGGGAUAUGAUUGUGAACUAAAAUAAGACAUGCAAAAGUUUUGUCAACAGACUAUUCUAAGAAUUAAUAAAAAUAUCAAGGUUAAAGGGUCUAUCUGAGAAGCAUGGCAAAGAAGAAAUACUGUGUUUACUUCAGAGUCACUCUUAAUAAUCUGAGUUUGGGUCAAUGAUGCGAUAAAGCAGGGGCAAGUGCUAGCAAUCUGAAACAAAAUGUAGGGAAUGAGCACUGGAGCAGGUGUUGGGACAACCAAGUACUGCAGGCUACCACUAAGUUUUUAACUGACACAUUUUCUUUGUUGAAAUAGGGGCAAAUUCACUUCACUUAAUUUAUCUACCAUUGUAAAAAUACAUCCAUGGAAUUUUACUUUCCGUUCAGGACUCUCCAGGAUAAUGAGAUUUUACUUUCUGUUCAGGACCCUCCAGAAAAAUGAGAAUUUACUUUAUGUUCAGGACCCCCUAAAAAAUGGGAAUUUACUUUAUGUUCAGGACCCUUCUGGAAAAUAGAAUUUUACUUUAUUUUCAGGACCUUCCUAAAAAAUGAAAUUUUUCUUUAUGUUCAGGACCCUCCUGGAAAAUGGAAUUUUACUUUCUUUUCAGGACCCUCUUGCAAAAUGGAAAUUUACUUUAUGUUCAGGAUCAUCUUGCAAAAAUUGAAUUUUACUUUCUGUUCAGGACCCUCCUGAAAAAUUGGACUUUACUUUAUGUUCAGGAGCCCGCCUAAAAAAUGGGAUUUUACUUUCUAUUCAGGACCCUUCUGAAAAAUGAGACUUUACUUUCUGUUCAGGACCCUCCUGAAAAAUUGGACUUUACUUUAUGUUCAGGAGCCCGCCUAAAAAAUGGGAUUUUACUUUCUAUUCAGGACCCUUCUGAAAAAUGAGACUUUACUUUCUGUUCAGGACCCUCCUGAAAAAUUGGACUUUACUUUAUGUUCAGGAGCCCGCCUAAAAAAUGGGAUUUUACUUUCUAUUCAGGACCCUUCUGAAAAAUGAGACUUUACUUGCUGUUCAGGCCCCUCCUGAAAAAUGGGAUUAUUCUUUCUGUUCAGGACCCUCCUGAAAAAUGGGAUUAUUCUUUCUGUUCAGGACCCUCCUGAAAAAUGGGAUUAUUCUUUCUGUUCAGGACCCUCCUGAAAAAUGGGAUUAUUCUUUCUGUUCAGGACCCUCCUGAAAAAUGGGAUUAUUCUUUCUGUUCAGGACCCUCCUGAAAAAUGGGAUUAUUCUUUCUGUUCAGGACCCUCCUGAAAAAUGGGAUUAUUCUUUCUGUUCAGGACCCUCCUGAAAAAUGGGAUUAUUCUUUCUGUUCAGGACCCUCCUGAAAAAUGGGAUUAUUCUUUCUGUUCAGGACCCUCCUGAAAAAUGGGAUUAUUCUUUCUGUUCAGGACCCUCCUGAAAAAUGGGAUUAUUCUUUCUGUUCAGGACCCUCCUGAAAAAUGGGAUUAUUCUUUCUGUUCAGGACCCUCCUGAAAAAUGGGAUUAUUCUUUCUGUUCAGGACCCUCCUGAAAAAUGGGAUUAUUCUUUCUGUUCAGGACCCUCCUGAAAAAUGGGAUUAUUCUUUCUGUUCAGGACCCUCCUGAAAAAUGGGAUUAUUCUUUCUGUUCAGGACCCUCCUGAAAAAUGGGAUUAUUCUUUCUGUUCAGGACCCUCCUGAAAAAUGGGAUUAUUCUUUCUGUUCAGGACCCUCCUGAAAAAUGGGAUUAUUCUUUCUGUUCAGGACCCUCCUGAAAAAUGGGAUUAUUCUUUCUGUUCAGGACCCUCCUGAAAAAUGGGAUUAUUCUUUCUGUUCAGGACCCUCCUGAAAAAUGGGAUUAUUCUUUCUGUUCAGGACCCUCCUGAAAAAUGGGAUUAUUCUUUCUGUUCAGGACCCUCCUGAAAAAUGGGAUUAUUCUUUCUGUUCAGGACCCUCCUGAAAAAUGGGAUUAUUCUUUCUGUUCAGGACACUCCUGAAAAUGGAAUUUGACUUUCUGUUCAAGACCCUCCUAAAAAAUGGAAUUUUACUUUCUGCUCAGGACCCUCCUGAAAAAUGGGAUUAUUCUUUCUGUUCAGGACCCCCCUGAAAAAUGGGACUUUAGUUUCUAUUCAGGACCUUCCUGAAAAAUAGGAUUUUACUUUCUGUUCAGGACCCUCCUGAAAAAUGGGAUUUUACUUUAUGCUCAGGACCCUCCUGGAAAAUGAGAAUUUACUUUAUGUUUAGGAUCCCGCCUGAAGAACAAGGUGAUAAAAUUAUAAGUCAGGAGCCUGCCUGUUGAACAGGAUGAUAAAAUGGUAAGUCGGGAGCCCGUCUGAAGAACAAGAUAACAGGGUGAUAAAAUGGUAAGUCGGGAGCCCGACUGAAGAACAAGCUGAUGAAAUUGGAAGUCAGGAGCCUGCCUGAAGAACAGGGUGAUGGAAUUGCAAGUUAGGAGCCCGCCUAAAGAUCAUGGGCAAAUAAAUGGAAAGUCAAAGCAUCAAAGUGAAGAAGUUGAAAGCCAAGCAACAAAGUGAAGGAAUUGAGAGUCAACAGAUUGAAAAAUAGCAGGCCAGGAGCCCGCCUAAAGAACAGGGUGAUGAAAUUGAAAGCCAAGUAACAAGUUGAGGAAAUGGCAAGUCAGGAUCCCGCCUGAAGAAUAGGGUGAUGAAACUCAAUUCAAGAGUCCAAAAUAUGCCGCAUAGAUAGGACUUUUGUAAUUUCAUUUAUCUUUUAACUUGUAAUUAUUGUUUUUGAUGUAAUGACAGAUUCGCAGACCGGAACCUUGACAGAACCUCGCUCGACUCUCCAACACGGUAUAGUCCCUCUUCUUUCAGUCCUUGGGGAUACCUGUGAUUUGAUUCUCUCAUAACUAGGGAUAAGUAUGAUGUCCAAAUUCAAGAAUUGGUUUCCCUCCUUCUUUCUAUUUAAUUCUUUUUGAAUAAUGAUUGGGACAAAAUUUUGUCUCGUUGUCUGAAAAUACUUCAUGUUUACAUUCAAAGGGGGCAUGCUGUAGACACCUAAUUUUGUCCCUUACAAGUCCAAUUUUAUUCAUUUUAGCUCACCUUACCAUACACCCUCAUCCAUGUGAUUAUACCCCACAAAAAUACAAAAAUAAUAACUAAUUCUCAACCAAACCAUAACAAAUUUUAUCCAGUUCUAACUACCCUACCCCACCCUCUUUAUCCUUACCCAUGUACACCCCUUCCUUAGGCUUUCUUUUCUUUUCAGGCGAAUGAAUACACAAAAAGGGGGCCCACGAAAAUUGCUUUUGGGCUUAUGGGAUAUAAAAAUAGAAAAGGAAGGGAGUAGAACAUAGGGAAUCUUCAAUCUAUUAUUCACAACAAAAAUAUCACAAAGGGGACCCACUGGGCAAGACCCAUCUUCUUCUCCACAAUUCCAUAGACCAAAUAUAUCACUCACAAAAACAAAACAGAGAAAGAUCACCAUUACACAACCUCCAUUUUUCAUUUAAGAGACUCACUUAUUUUAUAGGCACAAACGCUCACCGAUACACCACUCAUCACGAACAUGGAUUGAAUUCCCAUACACACAACUAUAGAAAUACAUGCUAAGGGGGAGGGGAGAAGGGAGUCGAUUGGAAAAAACUGGUUCUCCUUCACAACCUGUACAUACAGACACACCGAAUCAUGCACACACUCCUUAUGAUACACUGAUUCAUACGCAUAAUUGGAGAUGGACGAAAGAGAAGUGACGAGGGUUGAGGGAGAAACAUAAAUUCGGCAUUUGUGGUACUGUUCCGGCAAUGGUCUCACUGGAAAAGCUUUGUUAGUGCAUCUUUUACAGUUUGUAUUUGUCUCUAUCGAGUCCGUCGAGCUCCGGUGCAUCUAACUCAUAAACCAAAACAUGAUUCUAUCAUCUCGAGUGCACUGUCCGAUCAAUUUCGAAUGAAAAAUAGUCCUUUAUAUCGAUCCUUAUUAUCCGUUCAAUAUGGGGGUUCCGUCUCUCGUCGAAUUGUUUAGGUUUAGGAUUAUUUUUACUCUUGGGUGUUGAGAUUGGAAUUUCUUUGUUGGGAUUUUUGUUCGGAAGUUUGUUAUUUUUAUUCAAAAUUAUCGAUUCGGGGGGUAUAUUGAGGGGUGUUGCUGCUUUCAAAUUUGUUUGGAAUGGGAUUUGCAAUAUCGAGCUGGUGUUGAUCAUUUUGAGGCUUUUGGUUGCGGUUUUCGGACUUCAGCUUUCAUCGAUUCAUUAUUAUCAGUGAAAAAUCUAUUCUUUUGAGGUCCGAUUCUCCCCUCUCUCUUCCUUUAUUUUAAUUUCGAUGCGAUUAUAGAUGUGAUUCGAUCUCUCUGUCCUAUAAGUUUGGAUUGAUUUGGGUGAUGUUUGAUGUUGUCUGGUUUUGCAUAAUUGAUCUCAAUGGCAUAAAUGUGAUGAUAAUAUGAAUUUGGGUUUGUAUCAAAAAAGUAAUUUGGGAUGGGAAUUGAAAGAUUGGUAAAAUGAUUUUGGUUUAAUUUUGAUUUAUUGAUUAGGUUAAUUUCAUCAAACUUGAUAGUAUCAUGUCUUAGGUUGGGCAUCGAUAGGCAAAUUCUAAGUUUUGGGGAAAGCAACUCAUAGGAUUCUAAUCAUCGAAUGUGUAAUUAUUUGUGUUGAGUGAUUUUCUUUUUUUAUCGCAUUUCAUUAAAUGUAUUUAUUUAGCCGGGGAAUGCCUCGAAGGUCAUUUGUAUUUAUUCACCGGGGAAUGCCCCGACGCAUUAUGUUGGCGAAAGAUGUUCGUGAUCAAGACCCAGGGCAUCGAGUGGAGCGUAGUUUAGGAUUAGUGUAGGUUUACAUUUCAGUUCCUUCUAUUUUGGGUUUGUAAUAAUUGGACUGAACAUUAACUUUUGGAUUUUCGUUUGUUUGGUUUGGUUGUUUUAUGUGUUUUGUGGUUUAUACAUUUAUAAUGUCAUACUAGCCGAUAUGCUCCACCAAGCGACUGUGAUCGAACUACGAGAUCGAGGUGUGCCUAAAACCUUCCCCUCGGUCAACAGAAUUUCUUAGCCGAAAUCUCUGUUCGCAAACCAGCUUUAAAAGAGUCAAACCGUUUUAAAAAGGAUUUUCCAAAAGGUGACUUGGCACACCAGAUUUAUGCCAAGUG